UCGAAGGUAGCAUAAUCAGUAGUUUUUUAAUUGAAAACUUGAAUGAAUGGUUUAACAAAAUAUAAUCUGUCUCUUUUAAUUUUAUUAGAAUUUAAUUUUUUAGUAAAAAAGCUAAAAUAUUAUAAAAAGACGAUAAGACCCUAUAGAUUUUUAUUAUUAUUAAUUUUUUUUUAUAUAAAUUAAUUUAUUUAGAAUUUAAUUUUUUAAUUUUAUUGGGGUGAUAAUUAAAUUUAUAAAACUUAAAUUUUUGAUUUACAUAAUUAUUGAUUAAUUGAUCCAUUUUUAUGAUUAGAAGAUUAAAUUACCUUAGGGAUAACAGCGUAAUUUUAAUAUAAAGUUCAUAUUAAUAUUAAAUUUUGCGACCUCGAUGUUGGAUUAA
rnacentral:rRNA from 1 species